UACGAAGGGGGCGAGCGUUGUUCGGAUUUACUGGGCGUAAAGGGCGCGCAGGCGGCUUGUUUUGUCAGGCGUGAAAGCCCCGGGCUUAACCUGGAACUGCGUUUGAUACGGACGGGCUAGAGUUCGGAGAGGAGAGUGGAAUUCCCAGUGUAGAGGUGAAAUUCGUAGAUAUUGGGAAGAACACCGGUGGCGAAGGCGGCUCUCUG
rnacentral:rRNA from 1 species